rnacentral:ribozyme from 1 species
CUGUGGUCCAGCAGCAGCGGGUCAGCACUGCACGGGCCAACCCCACCAUGAUGGCCGGCAAGGUAGCAAAG